GACAAAGACAGGCUCUCUCGGUAUUGGCCUCCUUGUCUAGCACAGACUCUUACAGAAUGCAGGCUGCAACAUUUAAAUAUUUGUCGAAUACAUGGAGGCUAUGAGCUUUGUUAGGAAAGUAGUCUCUUCGAGUGCUUAAGGGCCUGGCGUCAGGAGCAGAACUACCUGCGUUUCAAACCAGAUGCUGCUACUUACUAGGUGCCUGACGGUGGCAAAGUUCAUGACUGAUCUCAUCACGUGAGUCCUUCAAAGUGGAGAAUCAUUCCUGGCUGGGUCAGACAGGGGCAGGAGGAGUGAUUCAAAGUGUGAGAGGGACUUAGCCCACCCACCGAUGUUGGCUUUGAAGAUGGAGGAAGGGGACCAGGAGCCAAGGACUGUGAGUGGCCUCUAGAAACUGAGAAUGGCCCCCAGAUGACAAGCAGCAAAAAACAGUGACCUUGGUCCUACAACCUCAAGGAGUUGAAUUUUCUUACAACCCAAAUGAACAAGGAAACAGACGGUCCCCUAGAGCCUACAGAAGGGAUUGUGGCCCUGCUGAAACCUUGAGCUUAAGCUGGUGAGACCCACGUUGGACUAAUAACCUACAGAAUUGCAAGUGAGACUCAUCCUCACCUCUCCUGAUCCAGUGAGACCCACAAGAUUUAUCUCACCUGAUUGAAAUCAAGAAGAAGGAACAUAAACAUUUGUCAAG